GUAACUGCUUUAUUUUAUUAUUUCUCAUAAAUGCCAACUUUGAGACUGCCUCACCAACAGGAGAUACACACGAUUGAAAAUUUGAAACAUGGCACACAAAACCAUGUGACUUGCUUGAAGGUCUCAAGUUUCAAUUCCUCUCUAAAAUAAUUGCAUUUCAUGGACACCCUAACAAAAGAUUAGAUAUAUCACAUGACUACAGGAAGAGAGAGAUCUACACCAAUGCUUCCCAUCAAAGGAAGAAUUUACAAUUACAACUAUAAAUAAAAACCCAUUAAGAUAAACACCAUUUUUCAUUUAGCUAUUCACUUUUCUUUAUUCACUAUCCGAUGAAUUUCCUCUGGCUUUUCAGCUACCCCCACCAGGGUACAGACAACCAUUGUAACCUACAAGGGAGCAAAAUUCAGAUGAGCAGCCAAAAUAAACAGGAAAUGCUAAUAUGAGAGGAAGAUGUUUAAGCUUAUGAUUAAUCCAACCUAAACACAGCUAAUAAAACAUAAUUCCACAAAAAUGAAAUUAUAUUUUGGGUGUUGGUGGGGACAUUUACCCUAUAAAGUUGUCAUAAAAAUCAAAAGCUGAUAAGCUUUUGCAUUCUAAUAAUGGUGAUUCUAAUCAAAUAAAGGGAACAAUACUUAAAUUCUAUUCUUAUCAUCUCUUUCAUAAAGUUAUAUUCCCAUUAUGAAAGAGCCGGCCAUUAAUGAUUACCAAAAUUAUUCAUUCCUAACCGACAGGAUGUGCACAUAUGGCCACUGUUUCAUUGUAGGAAUUGUAUAAACCAAAAAGAGAGCUGAAGUUAAAGAAAGAUUACUGGGAUUUUUUGAUGUGAGUGCAGCCGUCUGCGAGAAAUCGCAAUUCCAUGAAUUCUUGCCUGAAUUUUGGUAGUAUAAAUUCAUGGCAUAAGCAGCAUGUGAAACUACAGUAUUUGGAUCAAAACAUGCUCCUCCUGGUUGAAUUGGGCUGCAAUCUAUGCCUUGACCA
rnacentral:misc_RNA from 1 species